ensembl:snoRNA SNORA62 Small nucleolar RNA SNORA62/SNORA6 family
UGUGCACAUUGUUAGAGCUUGGAGUCCGGCCGUUGGCUGGCGAUGGACUCACAAGUGUAGGUAGUGUGCUACAUGACGGCAAGUUUCUCGCUAACACCAUGAGGGUCUUUGGCCCAAUGAGUGGAGUUGGAUAGUAAUCCUUGCUACAUAU